rnacentral:rRNA from 1 species
GACGAACGCUGGCGGCGUGCUUAACACAUGCAAGUCGAACGAUGAACUUGGAGCUUGCUCUGGGGGAUUAGUGGCGAACGGGUGAGUAACACGUGAGUAACCUGCCCUGGACUCUGGGAUAACUUCGAGAAAUCGGAGCUAAUACCGGAUAGGACCUUGCACCGCAUGGUGUGGGGUGGAAAGUUUUUCGGUUUGGGAUGGACUCGCGGCCUAUCAGCUUGUUGGUGAGGUAAUGGCUCACCAAGGCGUCGACGGGUAGCCAGCCUGAGAGGGUGACCGGCCACACUGGGACUGAGACACGGCCCAGACUCCUACGGGAGGCAGCAGUGGGGAAUAUUGCAUAAUGGGCGCAAGCCUGAUGCAGCAACGCCGCGUGCGGGAUGACGGCCUUCGGGUUGUAAACCGCUUUUAGUAGGGAAGAAGCCUUCGGGUGACGGUACCUGCAGAAAAAGGACCGGCUAACUACGUGCCAGCAGCCGCCGUAAAAC